UAACAUUGAUUUUAGGCCUGAG
rnacentral:siRNA from 1 species